rnacentral:misc_RNA from 1 species
AAGUCGUAACAAGGUUUCCGUAGGUGAACGUGCGGAAGGAUCAUUAACACGUAUCCACGUAUCAACCAAUGAGAACCGUUUUCCCGUCUCCCUGUGCAAAGAAUGAAUUGGAACCAGUUUGAGGGAGUGAUGGGACCGAAAGGUCGGCCUUCCUGGUAUACUUAUGUAAAUAGAAAUGUUUGCAUAGACAAUUGUAUUUUUGUUACAGGCUAUUUCUUAUCGCUUUGAUCCCCAUCAUGAUCGUGGCGGUAGGGAAACUUUCACUUUAUUUACCUUUUUUGCUAGUUGACUUUUUAUAUGUGUUGUCUUGCGAAAGCAUGGUGGCACACGUUUAUUAAUUGAACGUUAAAAAAUACAACUCUUAGCAAUGGAUAUCUUGGUUCUC